UACAGAGGUGGCAAGCGUUGUUCGGAAUUACUGGGCGUAAAGGGCGCGUAGGCGGCCUUCUCAGUCAGACGUGAAAUCCCCCGGCUUAACCUGGGAACUGCGUCUGAUACUGGAAGGCUCGAGUAUGGGAGAGGGAUGUAGAAUUCCAGGUGUAGCGGUGAAAUGCGUAGAUAUCUGGAGGAAUACCGGUGGCGAAGGCGGCAUCCUGGACCAUCACUGACGCUGAGGCGCGAAAGCUAGGGGAGCACACGGG
rnacentral:rRNA from 1 species